rnacentral:piRNA from 1 species
UGAGAUGUCUGGUGUAAUUCUAAUAGUC